rnacentral:rRNA from 1 species
AACAGGAUUAGAUACCCUGGUAGUCCACGCCGUAAACGAUGCUAACUCGUUUUUGGGUUUUCGGAUUCAGAGACUAAGCGAAAGUGAUAAGUUAGCCACCUGGGGAGUACGUUCGCAAGAAUGAAACUCAAAGGAAUUGACGGGGGCCCGCACAAGCGGUGGAUUAUGUGGUUUAAUUCGAUGAUACGCGAGGAACCUUACCAAGGCUUAAAUGGGAAUUGAUGGGUUUAGAAAUAGACCGUCCUUCGGGCAAUUUUCAAGGUGCUGCAUGGUUGUCGUCAGCUCGUGCCGUGAGGUGUUAGGUUAAGUCCUGCAACGAGCGCAACCCCUGUUACUAGUUGCUACCAUUAAGUUGAGGACUCUAGUAAGACUGCCUACGCAAGUAGAGAGGAAGGUGGGGAUGACGUCAAAUCAUCACGGCCCUUACGCCUUGGGCCACACACGUAAUACAAUGGCCGGUACAGAGGGCAGCUACCUAGCGAUAGGAUGCGAAUCUCGAAAGCCGGUCUCAGUUCGGAUUGGAGUCUGCAACUCGACUCUAUGAAGCUGGAAUCGCUAGUAAUCGCGCAUCAGCCAUGGCGCGGUGAAUACGUUCCCGGGCCUUGUACACACCGCCCGUCAAGCCAUGGAAGUCUGGGGUACCUGAAGUCGGUGACCGUAAAAGGAGCUGCCUAGGGUAAAACAGGUAACUAGGGCUAAGUCGUAACAAGGUAACC